rnacentral:misc_RNA from 1 species
AACCAUUGUGAACAUACCCGUACCGUUGCCUCGGCGGGCGGCCCCAGGGCGGGGCCGUAGCCUCCCCUCCGCGGGGGGCGCCCGCCGCAGGUCCGAAAACCAUUUUGAAUAUAGUGGCACCUCUGAGUUAGCUUCUAAACAAUCAAAACUUUCAACAACGGAUCUCUUGGUUCUGGCAUCGAUGAAGAACGCAGCGAAAUGCGAUAAGUAAUGUGAAUUGCAGAAUUCAGUGAAUCAUCGAAUCUUUGAACGCACAUUGCGCCCGCCAGCAUUCUGGCGGGCAUGCCUGUCCGAACGUCAUUUCAACCCCCAAGCCCCGCUUGGUGUUGGGGCGCUACGCGAGAGCGUACGCCCUCAAAAUCAGUGGCGGGCUCGCCGAAGACCCGGGCGUAGUAAUACGUCUCCCCGGAGUCCCAGGCGGGUCCCUGCCGUUAAACCCCCAAAAUCACAGAAGGUUGACUUCGGAUCAGGUAGGAAUACCCGCUGAACUUAAGCAUAUCAAUAAGCGGAGGAAAAG